rnacentral:lncRNA from 14 species
CUGCAGUACACAGCAAGUAAGGAUUUGUGGUUUUCUUCUUUAUCAAGAAUAGCAAAGCUGAAACAGCAAUAUUCCAUUUAUGGAAAUGACCUCAGGGCUGCAGUCUAGGUGCAGAUUAUUGCUACUGAGGUGCCUGCAGUGGUUUGGGCAGAAGACACAGAGACUCUCUUGGAUGACACUGACACAAAUAAGCAGUCUGAAGAAGAUGCACGAGCUCUCUGCUGUGGCAGCUGCCUGCCCACUCCAGCCUUUAAAACACUGUCAGCAAGUGGUGGACAAGCUACAUCUUCUCUGAAGGGCUUCUUGAAACAGCCCCAAAGAAGUGAACCACACAGAGCUACACUUGCACAGUACCAUGUGGGGAGCCUGGGGAAAUGAGCUACACAAAAGAAAAUGCUCUAAACAAACAGCAGCUUACCUUCAUUUUUGGUAGUUGUAUAUAGAGGGCCUUGUGGCUGUACCACUGAUGGUGAUUCAAGGAUUAUUGUUUUCCACCUCCAAAUGAAGCUGUUCUUUAUCACAAAGGGUAGGGAAAUACUGUUUUAGUGUUAAGGAUCUUCUGCUCCUGUAAUUGCUGUGAGCAAGCUGUUGUGUGGGGGUCUGGUUGUCUUUUCUGUGGCAGACAAGGUCUCCACUGCUGUGUUUAGAGGGUUCCUGCCAAAGCAGCCAAAAUAAUAGAGUUCAGCAAUUAAAACCUGCUUACAGUGGUGUUACCUGAAAAACUGAUGCUGUACCUGGUUCCUGGAGGGGCCUGUUCAUGCAUGAAAAGCCAACAAAAAUCCUUUCCCCAAGAAGUCAAAUUCUCUCAAACCUCCCAUUUUAUAUUGGCAAGUAGCAGCAAAAAACUUGUAAUUGUUGAUAAACAGAAGCAUCACUGAAAGAUGGUACAUUACCUCCUUGAAGGUAAAAGAUUUACCAAAAUCUUGGCUUUAGGCAGAAGACUUCAUAAACUGCUGUCUUCGUUUCUUCAGUACAGUAUAUACAGAUCAGAUGUGGUUUGUAAUCCAUGAUGGCGUUAUUGUUUGCAUUAACCACAUAAAUCUUCCAGCAUCUGUGUAUUUCAUAAGGGAACAAACAUUUCUGUCUAUUACAUGAACACAGCUAUUGUAAUAAACUCAUGUUAUGACAGACUGUGAUUACUGCA